UCGAACGGCAGCAUAGGUGCUUGCACCUGUAUGGCGAGUGGCGAACGGGUGAGUAAUGCAUCGGAACGUGCCCAGUCGUGGGGGAUAACGCAGCGAAAGUUGUGCUAAUACCGCAUACGAUCUAUGGAUGAAAGCGGGGGACCUUCGGGCCUCGCGCGAUUGGAGCGGCCGAUGUUAGAUUAGGUAGUUGGUGGGGUAAAGGCUCACCAAGCCAACGAUCUAUAGCUGGUCUGAGAGGACGACCAGCCACACUGGAACUGAGACACGGUCCAGACUCCUACGGGAGGCAGCAGUGGGGAAUUUUGGACAAUGGGCGAAAGCCUGAUCCAGCAAUACCGCGUGCAGGAAGAAGGCCCUCGGGUUGUAAACUGCUUUUGUACGGAACGAAACGGCGCGCUCUAAUAAAGUGCGCUAAUGACGGUACCGUAAGAAUAAGCACCGGCUAACUACGUGCCAGCAGCCGCGGUAAUACGUAGGGUGCGAGCGUUAAUCGGAAUUACUGGGCGUAAAGCGUGCGCAGGCGGUUUUGUAAGACAGGCGUGAAAUCCCCGGGCUCAACCUGGGAAUUGCGCUUGUGACUGCAAGGCUAGAGUACGGUAGAGGGGGGUAGAAUUCCGCGUGUAGCAGUGAAAUGCGUAGAUAUGCGGAGGAACACCGAUGGCGAAGGCAGCCCCCUGGACCUGUACUGACGCUCAUGCACGAAAGCGUGGGGAGCAAACAGGAUUAGAUACCCUGGUAG
rnacentral:rRNA from 1 species